rnacentral:rRNA from 2 species
GUGCCAGCCGCCGCGGUAAUACGAAGGGUGCAAGCGUUACUCGGAAUUACUGGGCGUAAAGCGUGCGUAGGUGGUUGUUUAAGUCUGAUGUGAAAGCCCUGGGCUCAACCUGGGAAUGGCAUUGGAAACUGGGCAGCUAGAGUGCGGUAGAGGGUAGUGGAAUUCCCGGUGUAGCAGUGAAAUGCGUAGAGAUCGGGAGGAACAUCUGUGGCGAAGGCGACUGCCUGGACCAGCACUGACACUGAGGGACGAAAGCGUGGGGAGCAAACAGGAUUAGAUACCCUGGUAGUCCACGCCCUAAACGAUGCGAACUGGAUGUUGGGUUCAACGUGGAACUCAGUAUCGAAGCUAACGCGUUAAGUUCGCCGCCUGGGGAGUACGGCCGCAAGGCUGAAACUUAAAGGAAUUGACGGGG